UCCGGUUUGUCACCGGCAGUCACGCCAGAGUGCCCGGCUUUACCCGUUGGCAACUGGAAUCGAGGGUUGCGCUCGUUGCGGGACUUAACCCAACAUCUCACGACACGAGCUGACGACAGCCAUGCACCACCUGUCUCCUGGCUCCUUGCGGCACCCCGAUGUUUCCACCGGGUUCCAGGGAUGUCAAACCUUGGUAAGGUUCUUCGCGUUGCAUCGAAUUAAACCACAUGCUCCACCGCUUGUGCGGGCCCCCGUCAAUUCCUUUGAGUUUCAGUCUUGCGACCGUACUCCCCAGGCGGGAUACUUAACGCGUUAGCUACAGCACCGAGAGGGUUGAUACCCUCGACACUUAGUAUCCAUCGUUUACGGCUCGGACUAC
rnacentral:misc_RNA from 1 species